CUCUAGCAUCACAAGUAUUAGAGG
rnacentral:piRNA from 1 species